rfam:Aspergillus oryzae strain BCC7051 OAory_C00, whole genome shotgun sequence.
GGCACUAUGGCGGAGUGGUUAACGCGAUGCCCUGCUAUACCCACUACGUGGCUUAGCCUAGGCAUUUCCCUCGGGAGCGUGAGUUCGAAUCUCACUGGUGUCG